rnacentral:rRNA from 1 species
UACGGGGGGGGCAAGCGUUGUUCGGAAUUACUGGGCGUAAAGGGCUCGUAGGCGGCCAACUAAGUCAGACGUGAAAUCCCUCGGCUUAACCGGGGAACUGCGUCUGAUACUGGAUGGCUUGAGGUUGGGAGAGGGAUGCGGAAUUCCAGGUGUAGCGGUGAAAUGCGUAGAUAUCUGGAGGAACACCGGUGGCGAAGGCGGCGAUCCUGGACCAAUUCUGACGCUGAGGAGCGAAAGCCAGGGGAGCAAACGGG